rnacentral:rRNA from 1 species
UAGGGAAUCUUCGGCAAUGGGGGGAACCCUGACCGAGCAACGCCGCGUGAGUGAAGAAGGUUUUCGGAUCGUAAAGCUCUGUUGUUAAGGAAGAACGAGUGUGAGAAUGGAAAGUUCAUACUGUGACGGUACUUAACCAGAAAGGGACGGCUAACUACGUGCCAGCAGCCGCGGUAAUACGUAGGUCCCGAGCGUUGUCCGGAUUUAUUGGGCGUAAAGCGAGCGCAGGCGGUUAGAUAAGUCUGAAGUUAAAGGCAGUGGCUCAACCAUUGUAGGUUUUGGAAACUGUUUAACUUGAGUGCAGAAGGGGAGAGUGGAAUUCCAUGUGUAGCGGUGAAAUGCGUAGAUAUAUGGAGGAACACCGGUGGCGAAAGCGGCUCUCUGGUCUGUAACUGACGCUGAGGCUCGAAAGCGUGGGGAGCGAACAGG